UACGUAGGGUGCAAGCGUUAAUCGGAAUUACUGGGCGUAAAGCGUGCGCAGGCGGUUGUGCAAGACAGAUGUGAAAUCCCCCGGGCUCAACCUGGGAACUGCAUUUGUGACUGCACGGCUGGAGUGCGGCAGAGGGGGAUGGAAUUGCCGCGUGUAGCAGUGAAAUGCGUAGAUAUGCGGAGGAACACCGAUGGCGAAGGCAAUCCCCUGGGCCUGCACUGACGCUCAUGCACGAAAGCGUGGGGAG
rnacentral:rRNA from 1 species